UACGUAGGGUGCAAGCGUUAAUCGGAAUUACUGGGCGUAAAGCGUGCGCAGGCGGCUUUGUAAGACAGGUGUGAAAUCCCCGGGCUUAACCUGGGAACUGCAUUUGUGACUGCAUAGCUAGAGUACGGUAGAGGGGGAUGGAAUUCCGCGUGUAGCAGUGAAAUGCGUAGAUAUGCGGAGGAACACCGAUGGCGAAGGCAAUCCCCUGGACCUGUACUGACGCUCAUGCACGAAAGCGUGGGGAGCAAACAGG
rnacentral:rRNA from 1 species